rnacentral:rRNA from 1 species
AACGGAUGAGUAAUACAUCGGAACGUACCGUUUAGUGGGGGACAACUUUCAGAAAUGGAAGCUAAUACCGCAUACGAACUACGGUUGAAAGCAGGGGACCUUCGGGCCUUGUGCUAAACGAGCGGCCGAUGGAAGAUUAGCUAGUUGGUGGGGUAAAGGCUCACCAAGGCGACGAUCUUUAGCGGGUCUGAGAGGACGAUCCGCCACACUGGAACUGAGACACGGUCCAGACUCC